rnacentral:misc_RNA from 1 species
UUUCCGUAGGUGAACCUGCGGAAGGAUCAUUACCUUAGCUUGGGCCCCUCAAGGGCCUUCUGUGGCGCCUUCGGGCGUCCGCAGUUAAACCCCUGUGAAGAACCUUUGUUGCUUCGGCAGCGCUUCCCCGCCACCGGCGGGGGGGGUCAGCCUGCCGACGGCACCCCGGAAACCCAUUUGCAAUGAAGUAACGUCUGAUUUUAUAGUCGAAUGACUGUUAAAACUUUCAACAACGGAUCUCUUGGUUCCC